UAUGGCGGACUGAUGACCUAAUAUCUGAUGAGGAAAUUCAGCAUUAUUGCGUCAGAUGAUGGCGUAAUGGUGUGCACUUUUCUUCUAGUAAGACGUUGCGAUCCAUUAGAAAAGUUUUAUGAUCUCUGUAUAUGCGCCCAGAUAAGAUUUUAUAUUUUUCGCGAGUAACGUGUUUUUUGUGUUAUGAGAGCGCGUGUACUCUAUCGGGUGCUCAUACAUAUGUGAGAGGGUUAUAAGACUAUGUGUCACAUACUCUCCCGUGUAGUGAUCUCUCUCGGGUAUAAGAUGUGCAUUUUCUCCGACACUUUAUAUAUUUGAGACCCCCUCGACACCUCUCUUGAAACACACCCCAAAAACUCAAUCGUGUGCGCGUCUCUGUGAGUUUAAUAACCUCUAUACGCAAUGUGAUUUUCUCGUGAAAGUGAUUUUAAAAGGGAUAUUAUGUGCAAUAUUUCCCCCUCCCCGGAUAUCAUAGUGUAUACACGUGCACUACAAAUAUAUCCCGUGAGCAUACACUCUGUGACGCAAGAGAUGGUGAUCUACGUGAGAUCGUUUUGGUCUCGGGGGAACUGAGGUGGGAGAGUAUCACAAUCAGACGUGCACUCGAUCUCAGAGUGUAUAUAGGGCAAAGACUCUCGCAUAUCUAUUUGUCUCUCUCUCAAA
rnacentral:rRNA from 1 species